UACAGAGGGUGCGAGCGUUGUCCGGAAUCACUGGGCGUAAAGGGCGCGUAGGCGGCUUGAUAAGCGUGCGGUGAAAGCCCGGGGCUCAACCCCGGGUCGGCCGUGCGAACUGUCGAGCUGGAGCACUGUAGAGGCAGGUGGAAUUCCGGGUGUAGCGGUGGAAUGCGUAGAUAUCAGGAGGAACACCUAUGGCGAAAGCAGGUUUCUGGGCCAUCACUGACGCUGAGCUGCGAAAGCUAGGGGAGCAAACAGG
rnacentral:rRNA from 1 species